UACGGAGGGUGCAAGCGUUAAUCGGAAUUACUGGGCGUAAAGCGCACGCAGGUGGCUGAGUCAGUCGAUUGUGAAAGCCCUGGGCUUAACCUGGGAAUUGCAGUCGAUACUACUCAGCUAGAGUAUGGGAGAGGGUAGUGGAAUUCCCGGUGUAGCGGUGAAAUGCGUAGAUAUCGGGAAGAACAUCAGUGGCGAAGGCGGCUACCUGGCCCAAUACUGACACUCAGGUGCGACAGCGUGGGGAGCAAACAGG
rnacentral:rRNA from 1 species